GAGAUUAUCCAGAGAUUCUACUGUUGGAGCCAGAUGCUAUAACUGAAGAGGGUUAAAACUGUCUCCUUUUGGGACACCGGAACAUAGAAGCCUGCCCGGGAAGAGCAGGGUAGAACUUAUAUUCUCUUUGUUCAGCUUCCCAGAGGAAUAAGAAGGCCAGAGUGAAGCCAGGUAGAGUUGACUGAUUUCAGAAGCAGUGCUGUUAAAAAUGGUUAUUUGUACUAAUAUAAAGUCUAAUAUGGGAGGUAGAAGAAUUUGGAAGAACCCUUGGAAGUAGAUGCUGUGAUAAUUAAAUGAUAGGAAGAAACAUGAAGCGAUGAAACAUACUGAACAAUUCCAUGUUUAUGGUGAAUAUCCAUGAUUAUUUCAAUGUAUAUUUGUGUGACUUGAGGUGGGUAG
rnacentral:lncRNA from 1 species